GGAAAAGUGGCUCAGUGGUAGAGCGCUUGCCUUACAUGCGUGAGGCCCUGGGUUCAAUUCCUCAGCACCA
rfam:Dipodomys ordii contig_40018, whole genome shotgun sequence.